rnacentral:rRNA from 1 species
UACGUAGGUGGCAAGCGUUGUCCGGAUUUAUUGGGCGUAAAGGGUGCGUAGGCGGCGCGGUAAGUCGGGUGUGAAAUCUUGGAGCUUAACUCCGAAACUGCAUUCGAUACUGCCGUGCUUGAGGACUGGAGAGGAGACUGGAAUUUACGGUGUAGCGGUGAAAUGCGUAGAUAUCGUAAGGAAGACCAGUGGCGAAGGCGGGUCUCUGGACAGUUCCUGACGCUGAGGCACGAAGGUCAGGGGAGCAAACGGG